rnacentral:rRNA from 1 species
GACGAACGCCGGCGGCGUGCCUAAUACAUGCAAGUCGAACGAAGCUGUUUUAACUGGUGCUUGCACCGACUUAAACAACUGAGUGGCGAACGGGUGAGUAACACGUGGGUAACCUGCCCCAAAGCGGGGGAUAACAUUUGGAAACAGAUGCUAAUACCGCAUAAUCACAGAAACCACAUGGUUUCUGUGUCAAAGAUGGUUUCGGCUAUCACUUUGGGAUGGACCCGCGGCGUAUUAGCUAGUUGGUAAGGUAAUGGCUUACCAAGGCAAUGAUACGUAGCCGAACUGAGAGGUUGAUCGGCCACAUUGGGACUGAGACACGGCCCAAACUCCUACGGGAGGCAGCAGUAGGGAAUCUUCCACAAUGGACGAAAGUCUGAUGGAGCAACGCCGCGUGAGUGAAGAAGGUUUUCGGAUCGUAAAACUCUGUUGUCAGAGAGGAACGUGUGCGAGAGUAACUGUUCGUGCAGUGACGGUAUCUGGCCAGAAAGCCACGGCUAACUACGUGCCAGCAGCCGCAGUAA